rnacentral:sRNA from 1 species
AACCUACAUGAUCCAUAUCUAAAAGCUAAUUUCCUGUCUCUGUCCGCCCUAUUGCUCAACAGACUUUGCUCAAUUUCAAAAAAUGCGGAUCCCUACGAUUUGUUUUUUAUUUCUUCUUAUCUCGUUAUCAAAAUCGCUUCAUAUUGGCUCAUGUCUUGGCUUAAUAUGUGGAAGAAAUGGUCACUGCCAUGCUGGACCUGUCAAUGGAACUCAAACUUCUUAUUGGUGCAGG